UACGUAGGGCGCAAGCGUUGUCCGGAAUUAUUGGGCGUAAAGAGCUCGUAGGCGGUCUGUUACGUCCGCUGUGAAAACCCAGGGCUUAACCCUGGGCUUGCAGUGGAUACGGGUAGACUAGAGGCAGGUAGGGGAGAAUGGAAUUCCCGGUGUAGCGGUGAAAUGCGCAGAUAUCGGGAGGAACACCGGUGGCGAAGGCGGUUCUCUGGGCCUGACCUGACGCUGAGGAGCGAAAGCGUGGGGAGCGAACAGGAU
rnacentral:rRNA from 1 species